UACCAGCACCCCGAGUGGUCGGGACGAUUAUUGGGCCUAAAGCAUCCGUAGCCGGUUCUGCAAGUCCCCCGUUAAAUCCAGCUGCUCAACAGAUGGGCCGCGGAGGAUACUACAGAGCUAGGAGGCAGGAGAGGCAAGCGGUACUCAGUGGGUAGGGGUAAAAAUCCGUUGAUCCAUUGAAGACCACCAGUGGCGAAGGCGGCUUGCCAGAAUGCGCUCGACGGUGAGGGAUGAAAGCUGGGGGAGCAAACCGG
rnacentral:rRNA from 1 species